GUGCGGCCAAAGCAGGCACAUAUACUAAAAUUGGAAUGAUACAGAGAAGAUUAGCAUGGCCCCUGUGCAAGGAUGACAUGCAAAUUUGGGAAGCAUUCCAAUUUUAG
rnacentral:snRNA from 1 species